rnacentral:rRNA from 1 species
GAUGAACGCUGGCGGCGUGCUUAACACAUGCAAGUCGAACGGUGAACGAGGGAGCUUGCUCCCUCCGGAUCAGUGGCGAACGGGUGAGUAACACGUGAGCAAUCUGCCCUGGACUCUGGGAUAAGCGUUGGAAACGACGUCUAAUACCGGAUACGAGGCGUGGGGGCAUCCCCAACGCCUGGAAAGAACUUCGGUCCAGGAUGAGCUCGCGGCCUAUCAGCUAGUUGGUGAGGUAACGGCUCACCAAGGCGACGACGGGUAGCCGGCCCGAGAGGGUGACCGGCCACACUGGGACUGAGACACGGCCCAGACUCCUACGGGAGGCAGCAGUGGGGAAUAUUGCACAAUGGGCGAAAGCCUGACGCAGCGACGCAGCGUGAGGGACGACGGCCUUCGGGUUGUAAACCUCUUUCAGCGGGGACGAAGCGAAAGUGACGGUACCCGCAGAAGAAGCACCGGCUAACUACGUGCCAGCCGCCGCGGUAAUAC